GACGAACGCUGGCGGCGUGCUUAACACAUGCAAGUCGAACGGAAAGGCCCUGCUUUUGUGGGGUGCUCGAGUGGCGAACGGGUGAGUAACACGUGAGUAACCUGCCCUUGACUUUGGGAUAACUUCAGGAAACUGGGGCUAAUACCGGAUAGGAGCUCCUGCUGCAUGGUGGGGGUUGGAAAGUUUCGGCGGUUGGGGAUGGACUCGCGGCUUAUCAGCUUGUUGGUGGGGUAGUGGCUUACCAAGGCUUUGACGGGUAGCCGGCCUGAGAGGGUGACCGGCCACAGGAGAGCGGCACAACGUACAAGAGGCGGAGGUGAGGGAGAAGGGAGGAAAGGUGAAGACGAGGGGGGAGGGGGAGGCGACACCGCCGCGUGGGGCAGGCGGGCCUUGUGGUGGUCAGCCGUUGUCGGCGGGGAGGAAGAGUGAGUGAAGGUAAAGAAAAAAGAAGCAAGGAAUAACUAAGUGACAGCAGCGGAGGGAAUAAAGGAAAAAAACACAAUUCAGC
rnacentral:rRNA from 1 species